rnacentral:rRNA from 1 species
AUUGAACGCUGGCGGCAGGCUUAACACAUGCAAGUCGAGCGAGCGGCGGCCGGGUGGGUAAUGUCUGAGAAAAUGGCUGAUGGAGGGGGCUAACUAAUGGAAACGGUAGCUAAUACCGCAUAACAGCAGAUGUGCCCAGAUGGGAGUAUCUAGUAGGUGGGGUAACGGCUCACCAAGGCGACGAUCCCUAGCUGGUCGGAGAGGCAGAACGGCCACACUGUGACUGAGACACGGCCCAGACUCCUACGUGAGGCAGCAGUGGGGAAUAUUGCACAAUGGGCGCAAGCCUGAUGCAGCCAUGCCGCGUGUGUGAAGAAGGCCUUCGGGUUGUAAAGCACUUUCAGCGAGGAGGCGUUACUCGCAGAAGAAGCACCGGCUAACUCCGUGCCAGCAGCCGCGGUAAUAC